GGGGGUGUGGCUGAAUGGUAAAGCACAUACCUCAGCAUGCAUGAGGGCCUGGGUUCAAUCCCCAGCAUCGCAA
rnacentral:tRNA from 1 species